ensembl:snRNA U6 U6 spliceosomal RNA
GUGUUCUCUUUGGCAACACAUAUGCUAAAAUUAGAAUGAUACAAAGAAGAUUAGCAUGGCUCCUGAGCAAGGAUGUCAUGCAAAUUCAUGAAGCUUUAUAUUAUUGA